CACAAAAGAUUUUAACUAUGGUGUCAGACCUGACGAGUUCUGUUAACGAACUCCGUGAGGAGGUCAGAGCCAUCCGCAAUACCAGCUCCAAUGAAUCGGUAGAUGCUGGGGUACUCCCUUUGGCUUUGCCCUUGCACAACAUUGAGGAGCUAAACCAUGCAGAGGCAGCUCUUCAAUCACAAGAGGCAAAUAAGGCAAUGGUGAGACGCUUUGCCUUGAUUGGAGGGACCACACUGGAGGUGCAAGUCCGCCGUGUAAUGGCUUAUGCCAUCACAAAUGAGCUGGCCUCUCUACUAAACUGGGCAGGGAAAAAAAACAAAGGACCAGACGAAGCAAAAAAGGGCAUUUAAAGAUACUGCGCUGUGCAGAUGCAUAUUUGAUGGCCUGACGCAGCAGUUAGGGGCAAACUCGAUGUCAGAGUUUGUCUUUGCACAGGCAGUGCAGAAGUGGCUACGAUACGCCCCAGACCGUUUGGGUGGUGCAGGACACACAUCAUCCAUCCCCAUCCCGGGGGAGUAGGAAAAACUA